CCUCUCUAGCUUUUCAGCUGUGCUCCUUCUACAAAUUGUUUCUUGGUUGUUAUGCAUCAGAAAUCAGAGCUGUCUUAUACUUCCCAUAUAAGACCAAGCAUAAAAUUUAUAUUUCUAUUAUUAAAUUUUGUUGCAGGUGCUGAACAUUUAAGGUCAGUCUUUAACCGGAUGGGUCUUGAGGACAAGGAUAUUGUGGCCCUCUCCGGAGCUCAUACAUUGGGAGGGGCACGUAAGCAAGUUCCAGGCUUUGAUGGCAAGUGGACAGAGGAGCCCUGGAAGUUCGACAAUUCGUAUUUCAAGGAGCUUAUGAAAUCAUCAACCAAGUCUCUUACAACUAGUAACCCUCCAACAGGGUAUUCACAGCAGAAACCUUCUUCUUCAGCUGCAGGCGAGGAUUCAACAGGGAGGCAGGCGAUUGUUUAUAUUUUCCACAGACCAAGCAUUAAUAAAGGAUCCUAAAUUCCUAGAAUAUGUUAGGUUGUAUGAACAGGAUUUGGAGGCUUUCUUCAGAGAUUAUGCGGCAUCCCACAAGCAGCUUUCGGAGCUAAGGUUUGUUCCUCCUAUUUGGACUUUUCCAGGGUAAUCACAGCUGUGAAGAACAGUUCAACCAUGGCAAAAACUGCUGCAGGAGUUGCUUUUGCGACGACUGCUAUAGCCAUUACUUUCUACUAUAGACGAAGAAGUCAAAGGGAACAGGAGUAAAACAGGAUCGAUCAUGUAUAAGAAGAAACCAUGUAUUAUUAGAAGAUCUCACCUCACAAAGAUUCAUUGAAGAAAACUAUGUUCCUAAACAAUUAGGAGCUCUUCAUAUGAUCAAAAUUAAAUGCCAUACACUUUGAAAUGAGGAAGAGAAAUCAGCAUUCACAAUAUAGAACAAGGCAAGAUCCUCAUUUUCUUGAGUCAAAAUGUAGCUAAUAAUAUGUUUUAUUA